UGCAAGUCGAGCGAACGGACGAGAAGCUUGCUUCUCUGAUGUUAGCGGCGGACGGGUGAGUAACACGUGGAUAACCUACCUAUAAGACUGGGAUAACUUCGGGAAACCGGAGCUAAUACCGGAUAAUAUUUUGAACCGCAUGGUUCAAAAGUGAAAGACGGUCUUGCUGUCACUUAUAGAUGGAUCCGCGCUGCAUUAGCUAGUUGGUAAGGUAACGGCUUACCAAGGCAACGAUGCAUAGCCGACCUGAGAGGGUGAUCGGCCACACUGGAACUGAGACACGGUCCAGACUCCUACGGGAGGCAGCAGUAGGGAAUCUUCCGCAAUGGGCGAAAGCCUGACGGAGCAACGCCGCGUGAGUGAUGAAGGUCUUCGGAUCGUAAAACUCUGUUAUUAGGGAAGAACAUAUGUGUAAGUAACUGUGCACAUCUUGACGGUACCUAAUCAGAAAGCCACGGCUAACUACGUGCCAGCAGCCGCGGUAAUACGUAGGUGGCAAGCGUUAUCCGGAAUUAUUGGGCGUAAAGCGCGCGUAGGCGGUUUUUUAAGUCUGAUGUGAAAGCCCACGGCUCAACCGUGGAGGGUCAUUGGAAACUGGAAAACUUGAGUGCAGAAGAGGAAAGUGGAAUUCCAUGUGUAGCGGUGAAAUGCGCAGAGAUAUGGAGGAACACCAGUGGCGAAGGCGACUUUCUGGUCUGUAACUGACGCUGAUGUGCGAAAGCGUGGGGAUCAAACAGGAUUAGAUACCCUGGUAGUCCACGCCGUAAACGAUGAGUGCUAAGUGUUAGGGGGUUUCCGCCCCUUAGUGCUGCAGCUAACGCAUUAAGCACUCCGCCUGGGGAGUACGACCGCAAGGUUGAAACUCAAAGGAAUUGACGGGGACCCGCACAAGCGGUGGAGCAUGUGGUUUAAUUCGAAGCAACGCGAAGAACCUUACCAAAUCUUGACAUCCUUUGACAACUCUAGAGAUAGAGCUUUCCCCUUCGGGGGACAAAGUGACAGGUGGUGCAUGGUUGUCGUCAGCUCGUGUCGUGAGAUGUUGGGUUAAGUCCCGCAACGAGCGCAACCCUUAAGCUUAGUUGCCAUCAUUAAGUUGGGCACUCUAAGUUGACUGCCGGUGACAAACCGGAGGAAGGUGGGGAUGACGUCAAAUCAUCAUGCCCCUUAUGAUUUGGGCUACACACGUGCUACAAUGGACAAUACAAAGGGCAGCGAAACCGCGAGGUCAAGCAAAUCCCAUAAAGUUGUUCUCAGUUCGGAUUGUAGUCUGCAACUCGACUACAUGAAGCUGGAAUCGCUAGUAAUCGUAGAUCAGCAUGCUACGGUGAAUACGUUCCCGGGUCUUGUACACACCGCCCGUCACACCACGAGAGUUUGUAACACCCGAAGCCGGUGGAGUAACCUUU
rnacentral:rRNA from 1 species